rnacentral:rRNA from 1 species
AGUUUGAUCAUGGCUCAGGACGAACGCUGGCGGCGUGCUUAACACAUGCAAGUCGAACGAUGAAGCCUUUCGGGGUGGAUUAGUGGCGAACGGGUGAGUAACACGUGGGCAAUCUGCCCUUCACUCUGGGACAAGCCCUGGAAACGGGGUCUAAUACCGGAUAACACUCUGUCCUGCAUGGGACGGGGUUAAAAGCUCCGGCGGUGAAGGAUGAGCCCGCGGCCUAUCAGCUUGUUGGUGGGGUAAUGGCCUACCAAGGCGACGACGGGUAGCCGGCCUGAGAGGGCGACCGGCCACACUGGGACUGAGACACGGCCCAGACUCCUACGGGAGGCAGCAGUGGGGAAUAUUGCACAAUGGGCGAAAGCCUGAUGCAGCGACGCCGCGUGAGGGAUGACGGCCUUCGGGUUGUAAACCUGUAAACCUCUUUCAGCAGGGAAGAAGCGAAAGUGACGGUACCUGCAGAAGAAGCGCCGGCUAACUACGUGCCAGC